AUUGAACGCUGGCGGCAGGCCUAACACAUGCAAGUCGAACGAGUGGCGGACGGGUGAGUAAUGUAUGGGGAACUGCCCGAUGGUGGGGGCUAACUACUGGAAACGGUAGCUAAUACCGCAUACCAUCGGAUUUGCCCAGAUGGGAUUCGCUAGUAGGUGGGGUAACGGCUCACCUAGGCGACGAUCUCCAGCUGGUCUGAGAGGAUGAUCAGCCAACCUGGAACUGUGACACGGUCCAGACUCCUACGGGAGGCAUCAGUGGGGAAUAUUGCACAAUGGACGCAAGCCUGAUGCAGCCAUGCCGCGUGUAUGAAGAAGGCCUUCGGGUUGUGAAGUACUUUCAGCGAGGAGGCGUUACUCGCAGAAGAAGCACCGGCGAACUCCGUGCCAGCCGCCGCGGUAAUAC
rnacentral:rRNA from 1 species